UAAAAAAAAUGUAUUUCUUCUGGCACUGAUGAAAACCCAUUGCACCUGGCAGAAGAAAUAAGAAACAACCCUCCAGCCCUAGAGAAGUGGUGAGGACAUAUUUUUAAUAAAAACUCUAACUGGGGGAAGGAGCAGGAACAUGAAAGCCACAUCCAGGAGACCCAGGGAUGCUUCUCUCCUUCACUUUCUGCCACAGGGCCAGGAUUGCGGGGUAAACUUCAAGAGACAGACCUCCUGUGAAACACACUAAAAGGGAAGAUUGGACCGCAAAGGUGGAAUAGAAAUGGAGGAAAAAACGUUGGGAAGCCAGCCUGUACUUUAAACACAGUAGAGCCAUUAGAACAGAACACUGAGAACCAGAGGUUUGAGUCAUGAGCAGAAACCUUUAUAUCCCAAAUCUGGACUAAAGACAAAGGUAACUUAAAAUUGGCUGUCCCCAGCAAAAUCAAUUCCCACAUGGUGAUGCAGCUAAGAAUCAUCAGUAGCCAUUACUCCUAGAAGCUCAUGGAAUUUGAAAGUACAUCUUUGUAACACUGCAGAAGCAAGUCUUCAGCUUCUUAAAAAAAAAAAAGAAAAAAAAGACCAUCACUUCAUAUACAAUCAUGUAAGUUUUCAAUGCAAUUACUGUAAGAAAUUUUGUCUUCUUGUUUAUUCGGUUCCCAUGAAUAGGGUGACAAUUUUUUUUUUAGCCUACUAUAAUGAGUGGUAAUAUUGCCUGUGUUUAUGUUUUUUGAUUUUAUGGCACUGAUUUGAGAUGACUACUCCAUUUCAAAAGUAAAAUAUCAUCUGCUUAUGACUUAAUAUAAGUAUAUAAGCACCUCACCACAAUUUUUACUGUAUAUAAUUUGGUAAAUAUAAAAAAUAACAAAUAUACAUUUAUUAGUUACAUAUAUUUAAAGUUAGCUCACUCUCUCAAAUAUAUAAACAGAGUGUGUUUGUCCAUUCAAGGAAACUAGUAAAGCAGUGUGGC
rnacentral:lncRNA from 1 species